rfam:Loxodonta africana unplaced genomic scaffold scaffold_8, whole genome shotgun sequence.
GCCGUGGUGGUUCAGUGGCAGAAUUCUCGCCUUCCACACGGGAGACCUGGGUUCGAUUCCCAGCCCAUGCA